rnacentral:rRNA from 1 species
GACGAACGCUGGCGGCGUGCUUAACACAUGCAAGUCGAACGGUAAGGCCCUUCGGGGUACACGAGUGGCGAACGGGUGAGUAACACGUGGGUGAUCUGCCCUGCACUUCGGGAUAAGCCUGGGAAACUGGGUCUAAUACCGGAUAGGACUCCGGACUGCAUGGUCUGGGGUGGAAAGCUUUUGCGUGGUGGGAUGGGCCCGCGGCCUAUCAGCUUGUUGGUGGGGUGAUGGCUUACCAAGGCGACGACGGGUAGCCGGCCUGAGAGGGUGACCGGCCACACUGGGACUGAGAUACGGCCCAGACUCCUACGGGAGGCAGCAGUGGGGAAUAUUGCACAAUGGGCGCAAGCCUGAUGCAGCGACGCCGCGUGAGGGAUGACGGCCUUCGGGUUGUAAACCUCUUUCAGCAUCGACGAAGCGAAAGUGACGGUAGGUGCAGAAGAAGGACCGGCCAACUACGUGCCAGCCGCCGCCGUAA